AUUGCAGAACGGAGCAAAGUUCUGUAUCCAAUCUCCCUCGGGAACUGAUCAUUCAUGCCUAUUUUUGUGCCAGCGAGUCUUUUACCCAGGCUUUUAACCAUUACUUUAUCCUUACAGAAAACACAUUUGUCAAUGAUUGGACGCUAAUAUCUCUGUCCUCUGUCCGAAAACGGUGUUCACGUUCAAGUUGGAUUUUAUCGACAGCAUCGAGUGGGAUUUGAAGCGCUGUAAGAGAGAAUCACGUUUUCGGGAACUUCUCCUUCCCUUUCUUGGAUACCCGAACCAUGGGAGCACAAGGGAGCAAAGGAGACGGCCUGCCAAACCCCCUGACGGGACCCCUGAAGGUUAUGGCAGAUAAGUGGGGAAGGGACGUUCUGGACCAGGUGCAAUUGUGGCAUAGGGAAGGGUUUUUUCCAUUGACAGGGACACUGAGUGUGACAAUGUUAGAAGAAGUAAGGGGUGGACUAACAGAACAUGAGGGAAAGAAAAAGGAAAAAGGGAUAAAAUAGACUGGGCUAAAUUUAGGAAAUGGGAGAGAGAGGCAGAAAGGCAUACAGAAAGACAAGACCCAUUUAGGGGUCUGCCGCGUCAGAACAUGGCAAUACAGACUGAGGGGGUAGAUAGGAAGGGGAAAGAAGAAACCGUGAGGAAGAAUAGGAAAGAUGAUGAGAGAGAGUUUCCCCCUCCCUACUCUUCUCCUCCUAACCUCUACCCAGUGUUGCCAGUGGACGAUGGGCUGCCCCUCCCUCCUCCUCCGCCUGCCCUGCUGGACCCCCUGCCACCUACUGCACCAGUGCUUACGCCCCCGCCCUUACCGCAAGCCACCUCCCCGUUGACAGAUGUGGUUGCCAAACCACUCACUGGCCUGGUAGACAUGAUGGGAGGAACUCCAAAGCUGUCAAGAAAUAAAGAAGUUGCUGUGGGAGCCAGAGCAAAGGAAAGAAAGAGCAUUAACCCCUUCCCCCAGAUGGGAGGUCCGAGCAGCUCGGCUGUGGAGGACGACAGCGACACAUCACAGUCGGGGUCAAAGUCAUCUCCUCCCCCAGUGAGUAGAACCAGACUACAGAAGAAGUUGACACUAGAGAGGAGAGGCAGGACACACAUUUUAACAGCCUGUUGUGUGGAUCCAAAAGACGUGGAAGAAGAAGGAAGAGAAGGUGAUGACCCAGAAGCUACAAGCUGCUCAUUUGACUUUCUACCAAUGCCAGGUGCCAGCUGAAGGAGGGGCUGGGAAGGGUCAUGGGGGUAAGACUAAGCCGGGAAACUGUUUCACAUGUAGGCAACCCAGCCAUUUCUCAGCUCAAUGUGAUCAAGCACUUAAGACUGGAGCUCAGAUGGGUGGAAGAGGUCGAGGCAGGAGUGGACCAAGGGGCAGAGGAGCGCCAAGGGGGGCCCCUAGAGGACAUGGGCCAGCAGGAGCUUCAGGACUGUGGCAUCCCCCUGCCCAACACCAUGGCAAACGCCACCAAACUAGUGGCCUGGGCCACCCCUUCAAUCUCGGCCUCAACAGCAGUGACGGCCCCAAGAGGGCCCCCAUGGAAGAGGCCGACCUGGGCCUGUUAUACUCACAGACAUAAUUGUAACAGUUUUAGAAACAUUAGAGUGUUUUCUAUCCAAAUGUACCAAUUAUAUGCAUAUCCUAGCUUCUGGGCCUGAGUAGCAGGCAGUUUACUUUGGGCACGUUUUUCAUCCGGACGUCAAAAUACUGCCCC
rnacentral:lncRNA from 1 species